rnacentral:rRNA from 1 species
GUACAGAGGGUUGCCAAACCGUAAGGUGGAGCUAAUCCCUUAAAGCUACUCUCAGUUCGGAUUGUAGGCUGAAACUCGCCUACAUGAAGCUGGAGUUACUAGUAAUCGCAGAUCAGAAUGCUGCGGUGAAUGCGUUCCCGGGUCUUGUACACACCGCCCGUCACACCACGGGAGUUGGAGACGCCCGAAGCCGAUUAUCUAACCUUUUGGAAGAAGUCGUCGAAGGUGGAAUCAAUAACUGGGGUGAAGUCGUAACAAGGUAGCCGUAUCGGAAGGUGCGGCUGGAUC